UCGCCCUGCAGCGCGGGAAGAGAAAUCGAGGGCGUGAGUAAAGGGUGCGAGGUAGGGAAGAGGGGGAGAGGGGAAUCAGACUUUCCAGAGUUCCAGAGGCCAAAGCCGCCGGAGCUCUGCCCCUACCGGCCUACCCUGUCCGGCGAGAUCCAGCCGCGCUGCAUCAAAUCCCCGCGAAGAACGGGCGCGCAGCCCAGCCGGCGGCGCUGCACAUCUCUGCUCGUCGUGUGCCCGCCCUGCAGCAGCUCGAUUGGAGCCCAGCUGUCCUCCAGAUCGAGCGGUACUGCUCCACCCUUCCUCCCUACCGGCUGCCAGAUUCAAGUUGCCUUCCCGCAGGCCCUCAGAUGGAGUUAAGCGUAUAGCCCACGUCAUCUUCUGCACACUCACUGUGAAAUAAAGCAAGGCUCUCAACUGCAUGCAGAUUUAUGCGUCGAACCAAAUUAGCAUCAGUUGAGAGCACGGAGGCAACAUGCUCAAUAAUAGCUUCAGCAACAUAGGAACCUUGCACCUCUCGGGGACCUCGCAUUGCAGACCUUGUUGCAAUAUUUGUUUUGCAAACCUUUGCAUCAUAAGAAAAGGCACCCAAUUAUAUUUCUUCAGCAUCUCAAUGAAAUUAUGAGGGAUUACUGGGCUAACAUCUUUCGUUAUUCCUGCAUUUAUGUAUAAAUCUACAUGCAGUGCAGUAAUUUUUCCAUCUGAUUUGAAUCCGACUGAAUAACAUAUUUUCAUUGGA